rnacentral:rRNA from 1 species
CAGUCGCCGCGGUAACACGUAGGGUGCGAGCGUUAAUCGGAAUUACUGGGCGUAAAGCGUGCGCAGGCGGUUUUGUAAGACAGGCGUGAAAUCCCCGGGCUCAACCUGGGAAUGGCGCUUGUGACUGCAAAGCUAGAGUGCGGCAGAGGGGGAUGGAAUUCCGCGUGUAGCAGUGAAAUGCGUAGAUAUGCGGAGGAACACCGAUGGCGAAGGCAAUCCCCUGGGCCUGCACUGACGCUCAUGCACGAAAGCGUGGGGAGCAAACAGGAUUAGAUACCCGAGUAGUCCCUGUCUCUUAUAC